rnacentral:rRNA from 1 species
AACGAACGCUGGCGGCAUGCCUAACACAUGCAAGUCGAACGAAGCCUUCGGGCUUAGUGGCGCACGGGUGCGUAACGCGUGGGAAUCUGCCCUUUGGUUCGGAAUAACAGUUGGAAACGACUGCUAAUACCGGAUGAUGACGAAAGUCCAAAGAUUUAUCGCCAGAGGAUGAGCCCGCGUAGGAUUAGCUAGUUGGUGUGGUAAAGGCGCACCAAGGCGACGACCCUUAGCUGGUCUGAGAGGAUGAUCAGCCACACUGGGACUGGGACACGGCCCGGACUCCUACGGGAGGCAGCGGUGGGGAAUAUUGGACAAUGGGCGAAAGCCUGAUCCAGCAAUGCCGCGUGAGUGAUGAAGGCCCUAGGGUUGUAAAGCUCUUUUACCCGGGAUGAUAAUGACAGUACCGGGAGAAUAAGCCCCGGCUAACUCCGUGCCAGCCGCCGCCGUAA